rnacentral:rRNA from 1 species
AUGCUUAGAUCGGAGCACAUGCAGGGCAAUGCUGAUGCGGUGGGUGAUGGGUGUGUUGAUGGUGAUGCUCUUGGGAAGAGAACCAUUGUACCUUCCAGCCAUACUGGUGGUCGCCGCUAUUACAAUGAAAAUUUCCAUGAUGGUCUCGCGGUUUGUCGAGUGCAUGGUGCGCCAGAUGUGUUUGCUACUUUCACUUGCAAUCCCAAAUGGCCUGAGAUCACCAAUGCAUUGGAGCCCGGUCAGACUCCUUCUGACAGGGCAGAUAUUGUUGUUAGGGUCUAUCACAUGAAGCUCAUCGAAUACUUAGACGAGAUCAGAUCCGGACGGGCUUUUGGUGCAGUUACUGCUGUUUUGUAUACCGCUGAGUUCCAAAAGCGGGGCCUGCCUCACGCGCACAUACUCGUGUGGAGGAAAGGAGGCAACGGUGAGAUCGGUGUUGAAAGUAUUAAUUCGUUCAUAUCUACUGAGAUACCUGAUCCAUUACUUGAUCCUCUAGGAUAUGCAUUAGUUUCUGAAUUCAUGAUGCACGGUCCGUGUGGUGAUAUGAAUGAUAAGUGCGUCUGCAUGAAAAAUGGUGUUUGUUCUAAAUAUUUUCCUAAGGAUUUUAGAGAUGCCACUAUUGUUGAUGAUAAUGGGUUUGUCUUGUAUCGGCGUCGCGACGAUGGUCGAAGGGUCUAUAAAAAUGGUCAUUAUCUUGAUAAUAGGCACGUUGUUCCUUAUAACAUGGCAAUGCUUAAGAAAUUCCAGGGCCAUAUAAAUGUAGAGUUGUGUAAUAAGACGCAGGUUAUGAAAUACCUCUUUAAGUAUGUGACUAAAGGCGCUGACUACUCUAAGGUCAUGUUAGAGAGGCUAAAAACGUUAAAUAAAGAUGGUCGUCGCACGGUAGAUGAGAUUCAGGAGUAUCUGAUAUGUCGCUAUAUAUGUGAGUAUGAUGCACUAUGGCGUAUAUUUGGAUUUGAAAUACAUUAUAAAAUGCCAUCCGUUCAAAGGAUGACUGUUCAUAUGCCUGGUAUGAAUACUGUUUACUAUCGUCCUGGUGCUGAUCUUACCAAAAUUGUUGAUUCUGAAUUCUUGCAAAAGACUAUGCUUACUGAAUGGUUCGUUGCAAAUGAGAUGUUUGAAGAUGCUCGCUCAUUGACGUACUGUGAUUUUCCAACUGCUUGGACAUGGGAAGCUAAAGGUAGAUCAUGGCAUCCAAGGGGUGGGGGGCAAAAGAUAGGCCGCGUAUAUUAUGUACAUCCUUUGAGUGGUGAGUUGUAUUACUUGCGCAUGCUCUUGAUGAUUGUUAGAGGGGCUACGUCUUACGAGUGUCUCCGGUCGUACAAUGGUCGUCUUUACAAUAGUUUUAAAGAAGCUUGUGCUGCCCGUGGUUUGUUAGGGGACGACAACGAGUGGUAUGUAGCAUUUGAUGAGGUAGUUGUCUGGGGGUUUGGCCAUCGGCUUAGGCAGUUGUUUGUGACCAUGCUCAUGCAUUGUUCUAUCAAAGAUGAGCUUGUUUUUUUAGCAUUACUUUGA